rnacentral:rRNA from 1 species
UGCGUAGGUGGCAUGGCAAGUUUGAUGUGAAAGCUCAGGGCUUAACCCUGAAAUGGCAUUGAAUACUGCUGGGCUGGAGGUUUGGGAGGGGGGGACUGGAAUUCUUGGUGUAGCAGUGAAAUGCGUAGAUAUCAAGAGGAACACCAGUGGCGAAGGCGAGUCCCUGGACAACACCUGACACUGAGGCACGAAACGGCCCGGGGGAGCAAACA